UAGUGUGUCGGGCGCUGCCUCCAAAGCGCUGGGAAAGAUAUAGUCGCUGUCCCGCGUGGGGCUCACGGUCUAAGUAGGAGAGGCAGAAGAGGGAAGGAGGGAGAAGAAAAGGAGGCUGAAUUGUACUUUCCAAGCCCUUAGUUCAGUGCUCUGCACAUAGUAAGCGCUCAAUAAAUACGACUGAAUGAAUGAAUGCUCUGCACACGGUAAGCGCUCAAUAAAUACGACUGAAUGAAUGAAUAAAAGAGGGAGGCUGCCCUUCCCGGGAAAGGCCUGUUUUUCUCCCGGUCGUCGGGAGGGUCCGGUCUGCUCCUUGGCGCCCUCUGGCCCGGACCUUGGGCGGUUGAGGUUUCCGGUGAGCGGCAGCAGGCCGGUUAUGACGACUCCCGCCGCCGCCGCCGCCGCCGCCUUUUGCUGCUGCUGCUGCUGCCGCUGCCGCCGCUCGGGCCGAGGCUUCAGGUGAGGACUCCAAAAGUCUGAAAAUAGAAACUUCCAAGUUUCCAGGAUCAAAUAAGUAUUAUUUUUGAUUGAUCAAAUUGUGGUGAAUAUGACUUAAGAUGAAAUUCUAAGGUAUAGAUCGUAUCAUUUACUAAAGCUAACACUACCACAGCAGCAGACACUACAGUAGCAGCAGUAAUUCUCAGAGCAUUCUUUAAAAUGCUCUUACUCUUCUCCCAUUAAUAAAGAUCACUUAACAAAAAUCGAGUUUGUGAUGUGACCUUUCAGUUCAGCAGCCUUCCAGGAGCCAUGUAAUUCAAGAAGAAACUUUUUAUCUAUUGCUUCUCAGAAGAAUCCUUAUUUUCCAUAAGUUGGAAAGAUCGUAGUAAUACUGGUGGUAUUUGUUAAGCAUCUAGUCUGUGCCAAGCAGUGUACUAAGCGCUGGGGAGGAUACAUGGUAUUCGGGUCAGACACAGUCCCUGGCCCAACCAGGGUUAACAGUCUGAAGUAUAAAGGCGAACAUAUGUUUUCUUUACAGAUGCGGAAACUGGGACACAGAGAAGUUAAGUGACUUGUCCAGGGACACACAGCAGAUCAGUUAGCAGAGCCAGAAGGUAUUAAUAAUAAUAUUUGCUAAGCACUUAGUAUGUUUCAGGUGCUGGGGUGGUUACAAGUAAAUCUGACGGACACAGUCCCUGUCCCACGUAGGGCUCACAGUCUUAAUCCCUAUUUUACAGCACAGAGACCUGUUUUUAGGUCACACAGCAUUCAUUCAUUCAAUUCAAUCAUAUUUAUUGAGCGCUUACUGUGUGCAGAGCACUG
rnacentral:lncRNA from 1 species